AUUGAACGCUGGCGGCAGGCCUAACACAUGCAAGUCGAAUGGUAACAGGAAACAGCUUGCUGUUUCGCUGACGAGUGGCGGCCGGGUGAGUAAUGUCUGGGAAACUGCCUGAUGGAGGGGGAUAACUACUGGAAACGGUAGCUAAUACCGCAUAACGUCGCAAGACCAAAGAGGGGGACCUUCGGGCCUCUUUCCUUCAGAUGUUCCCAGAUGGGAUUAGCUAGUAGGUGGGGUAACGGCUCACCUAGGCGACGAUCCCUAGCUGGUCUGAGAGGAUGACCGGCCACACUGGAACUGAGACACGGUCCAGACUCCUACGGGAGGCAGCAGUAGGGAAUAUUGCGCAAUGGGCGAAAGCCUGAUGCAGCAAUGCCACGUGUAUGAAGAAGGCCUUCGGGUUGUAAAGUACUGUCAGCGGGGAGGAAGGGAGUAAAGUGAAUACCUUUGCUCAUUGACGGUACCCGCAGAAGAAGCACCGGCUAACUCCGUG
rnacentral:rRNA from 1 species